GACGAACGCUGGCGGCGUGCAUAACACAUGCAAGUCGAACGGAAAGGCCCUGCUUUUGUGAGGUGCUCGAGUGGCGAACGGGUGAGUAACACGUGAGUAACCUGCCCUUGACUUUGGGAUAACUUCAGGAAACUGGGGCUAAUACCGGAUAGGAGCUCCUGCUGCAUGGUGGGGGUUGGAAAGUUUCGGCGGUUGGGGAUGGACUCGCGGCUUAUCAGCUUGUUGGUGGGGUAGUGGCUUACCAAGGCUUUGACGGGUAGCCGGCCUGAGAGGGUGACCGGCCACAUUGGGACUGAGAUACGGCCCAGACUCCUACGGGAGGCAGCAGUGGGGAAUAUUGCACAAUGGGCGGAAGCCUGAUGCAGCAACGCCGCGUGCGGGAUGACGGCCUUCGGGUUGUAAACCGCUUUCGCCUGUGACGAAGCGUGAGUGACGGUAAUGGGUAAAGAAGCACCGGCUAACUACGUG
rnacentral:rRNA from 1 species